CAGAACUUCUUGUGCAGAUGCAGGGUGUAGGUCAUAACGAUCACAAAGUUCUUGUUCUUGCUGCAACAAAUACUCCCUAUGCUUUGGAUCAGGCCAUUCGUCGACGAUUUGACAAGCGGAUAUACAUCCCUCUUCCUGAUUUGAAAGCCAGACAACACAUGUUCAAAGUGCAUCUGGGGGAUACUCCAAACAAUUUGACAGAAAAAGAUUUUG
rnacentral:misc_RNA from 1 species